CAGUCGCCACGGUAAUACGUGGGGGGCAAGCGUUGUUCGGAAUUAUUGGGCGUAAAGGGUGCGUAGGCGGUCUGAUAAGUCUGAUGUGAAAUCUAUGGGCUCAACCCAUAGUCUGCAUCGGAAACUGUCAGGCUUGAGUUCGGGAGAGGUGAGUGGAACUGCGAGUGUAGAGGUGAAAUUCGUAGAUAUUCGCAAGAACACCAGUGGCGAAGGCGGCUCACUGGCCCGAUACUGACGCUGAGGCACGAAAGCUAGGGGAGCAAAUGGGAUUAGAUACCCCCGUAGUCCCUGUCUCUUAUAC
rnacentral:rRNA from 1 species